AUAAGCGGAGGAAAAGAAACCAACAGGGAUUGCCUUAGUAGCGGGCGAGUGAAGCGGCAAAAGCUCAAAUUUGAAAUCUGGCGCCUUCGGUGUCCGAGUUGUAAUUUGAAGAUUGUAACCUUGGGGUUGGCUCUUGUCUAUGUUUCUUGGAACAGGACGUCACAGAGGGUGAGAAUCCCGUGCGAUGAGAUGCCCAAUUCUAUGUAAGGUGCUUUCGAAGAGUCGAGUUGUUUGGGAAUGCAGCUCUAAGUGGGUGGUAAAUUCCAUCUAAAGCUAAAUAUUGGCGAGAGACCGAUAGCGAACAAGUACAGUGAUGGAAAGAUGAAAAGAACUUUGAAAAGAGAGUGAAAAAGUACGUGAAAUUGUUGAAAGGGAAGGGUUUGAGAUCAGACUCGAUAUUUUGUGAGCCUUGCCUUCGUGGCGGGGUGACCCGCAGCUUAUCGGGCCAGCAUCGGUUUGGGCGGUAGGAUAAUGGCGUAGGAAUGUGACUUUACUUCGGUGAAGUGUUAUAGCCUGCGUUGAUGCUGCCUGCCUAGACCGAGGACUGCGAUUUUAUCAAGGAUGCUGGCAUAAUGAUCCCAAACCGCCCGUCUUAAA
rnacentral:rRNA from 1 species